AACGAACGCUGGCGGCAGGCCUAACACAUGCAAGUCGAACGCUCCGCAAGGGAGUGGCGCACGGGUGAGUAACACGUGGGAACCUACCUUCUGGUACGGAACAACCAAGGGAAACUUUGGCUAAGACCGUAUACGACCUCCGGGUGAAAGAUUGAUCGCCGGAGAGGGGCCCGCGUCCGAUUAGGUAGUUGGUGAGGUAACGGCUCACCAAGCCUUCGAUCGGUAGCUGGUCUGAGAGGAUGACCAGCCACACUGGGACUGAGACACGGCCCACGACUCCUACGGGAGGCAGCAGUGGGGAAUAUUGGACAAUGGGCGCAAGCCUGAUCCAGCCAUGCCGCGUGAGUGAUGAAGGG
rnacentral:rRNA from 1 species